rnacentral:lncRNA from 1 species
AGGGAAAAUAUAUUCUAUAUAAUUAUGAUUCAGAUUUUCGUGAAAUAAUAGAUAUAAAAGGUGCAUUUGGUUCAAAGUCGAAAAUGGUAUCGGAAUCGAAAUAAGAAUAAGCUGGAAACGGAAUCAGAAUGAUUCAUUACCUUAUUUUGUUUGGUUCACCACCUGAAUCGGAAUCGGAAUGAACUAUUCUCAUUGUCAGUAUUUGGUUCAGAUAGAUAUCAAAAACAUAAUCAAAUUAAUAUGCUAAUUUUAUCUUUAUAAUAUAUUAGUUUAAAUUCAAACUAAAAAUUAAAUAUUAAAAAUUUACGUUAAAAUUUUAAAAUGAUGUCAAAAUUUUAAAUAUAUUUUUUAAAAAAUUAAAAUUUGAAAUUGAACGGAUAAUUCAAAAUAUAAACUAAAUUUCGAUUUAUUCAAACUUAAAAUUAUAAUUUCAAUUUCAAUUUGAAUUCAUAAAUUUAAUUUAAAUUUUAAAUAAGAUUUGAAUAAAAUUUUAGAUUUUAAAUUUAAAUUUAUAAAUUAGAUUCAAAAUGCUUGAUUGAAUUUUAAUUUUUAAUUUAAGUUCAAAUUUAAAUUUAAAUGUAUAAAUAUAAUUUUUAAAAUUAAACUUAUGUUUAAAAAAUAAGCUUAAAAAGAUUAAAUUUAAUCCGAACAAAUCCAUUCCGUUCGGAUUUAAUUUUCAAUCCGGUCUCCUAGGCCGGAUUGGAAAAAAAAGGUAAUUCGGGGAUUCUCAAUCACCAGAGAAUCGGAAUCAGAAUGAAAAUCCCGCAUACCAAACACGGACAAAGAGAUUCGUCCAUUCCGAUUCCGAUUCUAUGGUGAAAAAUGGGUGAACCAAACACGCCUAUUUAUGUGCUACCAAAGUAUUAAUUCUCUUUCCGCAGUGCUCAACAGUACUCUCUUUUUAUUAGAUGCAAUUACAAAUAGUGAUGAUUAUUCCCCACAUUGUGCAAUUAAAUUACCUUCCAAAAAAACAAAUCAUUAAAUGUGUAUAUUAAUUAGCCAAUUUGUACAAUUGAUUGCAUCUCUCCAUGGCUUUGGAAGCUGUUUAACUUUGCUAGAAUAGGUAUUCUUAGUUUGGCAGUUUGAUCAUACAUUAAAAGGCUUAAUUAUUCUACCCUAUAUUCUAUUUUAGGACCUUAUUUUUUAAAAAAAAUUUAUAUUCUACUAUUUUUUUCUUUUCCAAAGACACCACUAAAUUCUGUUUUCUCAUCACUUUUUAUAUUACAAGCAAUAAAAGUUUGUAACGUUAGAUGAAAACUAGCAACUCUUAAAGCUGUCCAAAAUAUCCGAUAUACCAUACCUGAUCCGGACCCUAUCCGGAUUCGUACCGAACCCGAAAAAAAAUGGACAGUAUAUGGGUAAAAAAAACUUACCCAUUAAAAUUUCGGAUAUUGCCGGGCCCAGAUAUUUUAUACCCAUACCUAAUUUGGACCUGACCCGAACCCAUCUUUUAAAUACGUAGUGUCCGGAAUAGUUUUCAAAUCCAAACCCAGACUCGGAUCCGGACCUAGACCUGAUAAAAUAUCCAAUAGUAAAUAAAAAUAUUUGAAAUUUUGAACUUGAUGGAUCAAUUUUCAUACGACUUAUAGAGGAAGGAUCUCUAAGUAUUUUCAUCCUAUUAAAAUAUUGAAAUCCUAGCUGCUUUUUUACUUCUUUUUUCUAGCUUUUACUCUUUAUUUUUUACUCUUUCUUUUUUAUUUUAUUUCUGCUUAAGAGUUUUUUAUGAAACAAUAUUUCCAUCGCCGUCAUCAUCAGUAAUAUUAAUCCUUUAUAGGCGUGGCACGAGUGAGUUUUUUCUAAACUCCUUCUCUAAUUAUAGUCGACAACCAAAUUAUUUUUUUGGGUUAUUUGCAUACACGUCCCUGCAAACAUAGAUGCACGAAACCACAGGGGGGUUUUUGAAGUUUUCCCAAUAAAAAGAAAGGAGUUAAGGCAACAAAGUUUCUUCUAGGUAGUUUGUAUCUUUGAAGGUAACAAUUAAUUUGCUAACAACCAAAAGGCUCGAGGAGAUAUGUAAGCGUGAGUUCGACCAAACUUAAUUUUCUUUUGCUUUCAGAGUUAGUCAUCUUUAAUUAGUAGAACAUUAUCAAGCUAGAAAAACUUAAGGGUGCGUUUGGUUCGCGCUAUCUUUUUAAGAUUCCUAAUAAUUCAAUAGGAAUAAAAAAAAUAUGACGGUAUUUGGCUAAACGCACUAAGUAAUCUAGCUGGUAAUAUUAGAUUUACUUGGAAAUGAGAUUCACCCAAAGACUAAUCUCAUUCUCUUCGGGAAGGUGGGUAUCCUCAUAUUAAUGGAUUGAGAUAAUCAUAAUAUAUCUAUUUUUUCUGUCUCGCUAUCCGUCGGCUAGUUGGUAUUAUUUUCUUUUACACUCUAACCUCAUUUCUCUCUCUAAACUUAUCUUUUCUCUCUCUAAACUAAGCUCUCUCUCCCUCAUUUUUUCUAAAAUCUCUACUCUCUCACGUACUCCCUCUAAUCUCGACUCUAUUUCUCUUCCUAUUUCUUUAAUUAUAUCUCUCUCUAACCUAUGUUCUCUCUUCCUUUUUUCUAAAAAAAUGUUGAAAUUUUUAAUAGCAUUAUUUAAAAU